rnacentral:rRNA from 1 species
GACGAACGCUUGCGGCGUGCUUAACACAUGCAAGUCGAACGGAAAGGCCCUGCUUUUGUGGGGUGCUCGAGUGGCGAACGGGUGAGUAACACGUGAGUAACCUGCCCUUGACUUUGGGAUAACUUCAGGAAACUGGGGCUAAUACCGGAUAGGAGCUCCUGCUGCAUGGUGGGGGUUGGAAAGUUUCGGCGGUUGGGGAUGGACUCGCGGCUUAUCAGCUUGUUGGUGGGGUAGUGGCUUACCAAGGCUUUGACGGGUAGCCGGCCUGAGAGGGUGACCGGCCACAUUGGGACUGAGAUACGGCCCAGACUCCUACGGGAGGCAGCAGUGGGGAAUAUUGCACAAUGGGCGGAAGCCUGAUGCAGCAACGCCGCGUGCGGGAUGACGGCCUUCGGGUUGUAAACCGCUUUCGCCUGUGACGAAGCGUGAGUGACGGUAAUGGGUAAAGAAGCACCGGCUAACUACGUGCCAGCAGCCGCGGUGAUACGUAGGGUGCGAGCGUUGUCCGGAUUUAUUGGGCGUAAAGGGCUCGUAGGUGGUUGAUCGCGUCGGAAGUGUAAUCUUGGGGCUUAACCCUGAGCGUGCUUUCGAUACGGGUUGACUUGAGGAAGGUAGGGGAGAAUGGAAUUCCUGGUGGAGCGGUGGAAUGCGCAGAUAUCAGGAGGAACACCAGUGGCGAAGGCGGUUCUCUGGGCCUUUCCUGACGCUGAGGAGCGAAAGCGUGGGGAGCGAACAGGCUUAGUUACCCUGGUAGUCCACGCUGUAAACGGUGGGUACUAGGUGUGGGGUCCAUUCCACGGGUUCCGUGCCGUAGCUAACGCUUUAAGUACCCCGCCUGGGGAGUACGGCCGCAAGGCUAAAACUCAAAGGAAUUGACGGGGCCCCGCACAAGCGGCGGAGCAUGCGGAUUAAUUCGAUGCAACGCGUAGAACCUUACCUGGGUUUGACAUGGAUCGGGAGUGCUCAGAGAUGGGUGUGCCUCUUUUGGGGUCGGUUCACAGGUGGUGCAUGGCUGUCGUCAGCUCGUGUCGUGAGAUGUUGGGUUAAGUCCCGCAACGAGCGCAACCCUUGUUCACUGUUGCCAGCACGUUAUGGUGGGGACUCAGUGGAGACCGCCGGGGUCAACUCGGAGGAAGGUGGGGAUGACGUCAAGUCAUCAUGCCCCUUAUGUCCAGGGCUUCACGCAUGCUACAAUGGCUGGUACAGAGAGUGGCGAGCCUGUGAGGGUGAGCGAAUCUCGGAAAGCCGGUCUCAGUUCGGAUUGGGGUCUGCAACUCGACCUCAUGAAGUCGGAGUCGCUAGUAAUCGCAGAUCAGCAACGCUGCGGUGAAUACGUUCCCGGG